rnacentral:rRNA from 1 species
AGUGAACGCUGGCGGUAGGCCUAACACAUGCAAGUCGAACGGCAGCACAGUAAGAGCUUGCUCUUACGGGUGGCGAGUGGCGGACGGGUGAGGAAUACAUCGGAAUCUACUUUUUCGUGGGGGAUAACGUAGGGAAACUUACGCUAAUACCGCAUACGACCUACGGGUGAAAGCAGGGGAUCUUCGGACCUUGCGCGAUUGAAUGAGCCGAUGUCGGAUUAGCUAGUUGGCGGGGUAAAGGCCAACCAAGGCGACGAUCCGUAGCUGGUCUGAGAGGAUGAUCAGCCACACUGGAACUGAGACACGGUCCAGACUCCUACGGGAGGCAGCAGUGGGGAAUAUUGGACAGUGGGCGCAAGCCUGAUCCAGCCAUACCGCGUGGGUGAAGAAGGCCUUCGGGUUGUAAAGCCCUUUUGUUGGGAAAGAAAAGCAGCAGGUUAAUACCCCGCUGUUCUGACGGUACCCAAAGAAUAAGCACCGGCUAACUUCGUG